UACGGAGGGUGCGAGCGUUGUCCGGAAUCACUGGGCGUAAAGGGCGCGUAGGUGGCCUGUGGAAGUCUGCGGUGAAAGCCCGGCGCUCAACGCCGGGUCGGCCGUGGAUACUCUCGGGCUCGAGCUUACUAGAGGCAGAUGGAAUUCCGGGUGUAGCGGUGGAAUGCGUAGAGAUCCGGAAGAACACCGGUGGCGGAGGCGGUCUGCUGGGGUAAUGCUGACACUGAUGCGCGACAGCGUGGGGAGCAAACAGG
rnacentral:rRNA from 1 species